rnacentral:rRNA from 1 species
AUACGGAGGGUGCAAGCGUUAAUCGGAAUCACUGGGCGUAAAGCGCGCGCAGGCGGGCUGAUAAGUUGGAUGUGAAAGCCUACGGCUCAACCGUAGAACUGCAUCCAAAACUGUCAGUCUAGAGUCUGGGAGGGGAAGAUGGAAUUAGUUGUGUAGGGGUAAAAUCCGUAGAGAUAACUAGGAAUACCAAAAGCGAAGGCGAUCUUCUGGAACAGUACUGACGCUGAGGCGCGAAAGCGUGGGGAGCAAACAGGAUUAGAAACCCUAGUAGUCC